UACGAAGGGGGCUAGCGUUGCUCGGAAUUACUGGGCGUAAAGGGCGCGUAGGCGGAUAGUUUAGUCAGAGGUGAAAGCCCAGGGCUCAACCUUGGAACUGCCUUUGAUACUGGCUAUCUUGAGUUCGGGAGAGGUGAGUGGAAUGCCGAGUGUAGAGGUGAAAUUCGUAGAUAUUCGGCGGAACACCAGUGGCGAAGGCGGCUCACUGGUCCGGUACUGACGCUGAGGUGCGAAAGCGUGGGGAGCAAACAGG
rnacentral:rRNA from 1 species